UACACAUGCAAGUCGUACGAGAAAGGGUCUUUCGGGACCCGAGUAAAGUGGCGCACGGNGUGAGUAACACGNUGGAUAAUCUGCCCUGCAGUUGGGAAUAACCCACCGAAAGGUGUGCUAAUACCGAAUAAUGCUGACAGACCUUGGUCGGUUAGCCAAAGAGAGCCUCUGCUUGCAAGCCCUCGCUGUGGGAUGAGUCCGCGUACCAUUAGCUGGUUGGCAGGGUAAUGGCCUACCAAGGCGACGAUGGUUAGCUGGUCUGAGAGGAUGAUCAGCCACACUGGAACUGAGACACGGUCCAGACUCCUACGGGAGGCAGCAGUGAGGAAUCUUGCGCAAUGGGGGAAACCCUGACGCAGCAACGCCGCGUGAGUGAGGAAGGUCUUCGGAUCGUAAAGCUCUGUCAGUUGGAAAGAAACGCUUAUGUGCUAAUACCACAUAGGUUUGACGGUACCAACAGAGGAAGCACCGGCUAACUCCGUGCCAGCAGCCGCGGUAAUACGGGGGGUGCAAGCGUUGUUCGGAAUUAUUGGGCGUAAAGAGCGUGUAGGCUGCCUGAUGUGUCAGAUGUGAAAGCCCUGGGCUUAACCCAGGAAGUGCAUUUGAAACUGUCAGGCUUGAGUAGGGGAGGGGGAAGUGGAAUUCCUGGUGUANAGGUGAAAUUCGUANA
rnacentral:rRNA from 1 species